CAACAAGGAGCAGACCUCAGAUUUAUUACAGAGAGCCAAAGAAGGAGAUGAUGUUUGUUUUCGCUCAAGAGCUUCCCUUCCACAAUCUGAAUGGGAACCACAGGGAGAAAGGAGGGCAUGAGAAGGAGCAGAUUUUGACUCCCAUCAUGCUCCAGGCUGCUCUCCCUCUGUUUAGUUUGCACUGGUGGGUUGUGGGGAAUUGAUGCUGAGAAAGGAAAGCUUUGAAAAAAAUGAAAAUUUGAAAUAUGAAACAAAAUGACAAUUUUGUAAGAUCUAAAAGUAUCUGUUUCAAUAAUCUUAACUACCUGAAAUGUAUAGAACUAAACUGAGAUGCCAUUAAGGAACUCAGCUACCCAGUGGUAAAGCUGGUAAAGCUGGGAGGAUUGAUGGAACAUUGCUAGUAGCCAUUACUGGAGAAGUAACAACCUUUUUUCGUAUUCUCGGCACCAGCUGGACAAUGCCAUCGCCAUCCCCCCAGAGGUUUUACCUGUCUCCUGUUCUCAUUGCUUCUGGAUCAAUAAUUAAGAUUGACUCUACAUGGCCCAAAUGAAGAAAUGAAAGGAAAUGGAUCAUUCACCAAAGGAUCUGCAGAACUUUGCUAAUAUUUACCAGAAGUAACCAGUAGGAUAUUCAAGUGAGUGCUUCUUAAAAACACAUUAGAGCAGGGGUAUGCAAAUAAAAGGCCGUAUUAGGGAGAGUGAAUUUAUAUGGAAAGAGACUCUUUUAUGACUCAGGAUUUAAUUUCCUGGUAAGGAUGCCAGAAAUGGAAAUUUGAAUCCUGAAGAUUGGAUGGCUUACAGUAAAUGAGUGGACCUGCUAGAACAGUCUUGGCAGAGUAUUUAGACAGAGGUCAGAAGCACAGAGAUAUAGGCAUGAUAGAAUAGAUUUAGUAUAUAAGGCCAGAGAAAAGGCCCAGAAAACUCCUUUCACUAAGGGAACGAGGAAUAUGCUAGUGAGUACUGCAACUUCAGAAAGGUUGGUGGUGACAGUCCACCAUAGCCCAGAAUGUAUUCUGACAGAUAUAGCUAUGAACCCAUGCUUACUGGUGUAAAUGUGAAUGAUAAUAUUCUGGUAAAGCAGAGGACAAGUGGUAGCAUCUCACCUUGUCAGAAACAAGUUGGGUUUAAUUCCAGCAUGUGUAGCAAGCCUGAAACAGCAAUCAAGGACCUUACUUAUAGGGAUCUGUAGCAGUGGCUAAUAAACUAUGGUAUUCCUAGGGGCCAGAUAGGCAGCCAAUAAAGAUAUUGGAUUGGAUUAUAGAUGUCAAAUGGAUAGAGUUGUUCAGGAGAAGAAUCAUGAUGGCAGCUAUAAGAGGAAAUCAUGAUUCCUUUCCCAGUUUCUGUACCUAGGAUAAUUCCUAGACAAUAAGAUCAUCCAUUGAAAAAGAGACUGGAUCUUCUUGAGGAACGAUCCUGCAGUGCCAACAUUGUUUUUAUAACAGAUAUUUCUGAACCUUU
rnacentral:lncRNA from 1 species